GAAAGAAAGAAAGUAUUGAUAGUAGAACUAUUGAAGGCUACGGAAAUAAAAAAAAUAAAUAAAUAAAUAAAGAGAUAAGACCGGGUUACAAAAGGAAGGCUGAACAAGGUAUGGCUUCUGGUGAGAUUGGUCCACCUACCACCAUGAUGAGUUUUCAGAAUUAGACUUGUACUCUCAGUAUGGUUAGAAUUUCUGAUUUUUGGGUAUGGCUAUCAGAAGGCCAUAUUUGGGCUGAUUUUUGGGGAUUUUUCUGUCCUCUCAAUGGUUUAGUUUGAAUUUUUUUUUUUUUUUUUUUUCCUCAAGUGCUCAACCGUAUUUGGUCGUUUUGAGGAGUAGUUCUAAUAAAACGAGUGUAAUGGGCAUUGCAUUACCACAUAUGUAUAGGAAUACUUGUUCUCUGUUGGGGAAGAGACACAAGGAAUUGCUAUGCUGUUAUUCCGAGAGUAUGGUGAUGAGAGCCGCGUUCCUAAAACGCACAGCAGAAGAUGAAUAUAGAAGGGAUCUAACAAUUGACAGGUAGGUUUUGAAAUGGGAUUUGAGUUGGCGAAAUAGGACAACCGAAAAUCACUUCCAAAUGCUAAGAAAAAGAUGAUGACCAUUGCUUUUAGCAUCAAUCAUAGUCCUCUAAAUAUCAACCAAGAAGAAUCUCUACAACUUCUUCAAUUAAAUGUACAAGAAAAGGGGAAAGCCCUGUGUCUUGCUGCUGCCUGCUAAGUUUGCCAAGGGGCUAUGGGAGAAUUAAGCAUAGACAUCUAGGUAAGUACUCCAUUGCUUAUGCUCGUGUUUAUCCUUUUAUUUGGGUGUGAAACAUAUUUCAUAAUGUGUUGCUAUUGUUGUGAGAAGUUCAUUCACCAUGUCUUAUUUUGUAUUUUUUUUUUUUCUCGUAUAAUUUCUUCCUCCUCUUUUUAUUUUUUAUUGUCAUUUUAUUUUUAUUUUCUUUUCCUUCUUAGUGCUGUAUAUUAUUAAGCAAGCAUAAGGCAUGCUAGGUAUUAAUAUCAACCAAAAAAAUUUUUUUCUUGGUAUUUUAAAAUAUUCUCUUGACUUUUUUUACCCUUCUACAAAAGAAACUUGCAUUUUUUAAGUUAAAUAAAUUAGUAUUUUCAAUACUAUAAGUGUUAAUUAGAUUUCAAAAAUCUGUAACAUGAAGAGGUGCUUGGAUGAACUAUUUCUAAAAUAAAUUUGGAAUUUUUGACACUACUCAUGAAGUAGUGCAAGUUAGUACUUUUUAUUUAAAAUUAUGCUUGAAGGAUCGGGGUUUAGAUAAUGAGUGGAAGGAUUUAUAAAUUAGUUUAAUUAAAUUUAACUUUUGAAAUUAGAUUUGUCAAAAUAAGGCUCAAAAAUAGGAAAUUAGAUUUUUUGUUAUCGUUGAAGCUCUAACAACAAUUGUUAGAUUAUUAUUUUUGCUAGCAUGUGGGGAUGCAGACUUGAGAAUUGGCAGACAACUAACAUUCACGAGCUUGUGGAUUUUUGUAUCAAUCCGAAGAGAGAAGUUUGCCUGCAACUUAAGGAUGAGAGAUCUUUCACCAUUUUUGUUGUUACACUGAUGUAGUUCACGUGAAGAUGUAGAAAUGAAAAAAAUUUCACUGACCUCAACCAAAGCCAAGAUAUGAUACGUCGAUUCAAUACGUUAGUUAAUGAUUUUUUUGAUGGAAGACGUGAACAGUGACCAAAAGGUUCGGGCAAAGGAGCGAUGGACUGCCCCUCCUAAGGGUUGGUGGAAAGCUAACACUGAUGCGGCGUUUUGUAAUGGGAAAGCUGGGAUUGCUUUCAUUGUUAGAGAUUGGAAAGGAGAGGUCAAGUAUCUUGAUUACAAGCGUAUCUGCUGCGGUUCACCCUUGGAAGCUGAGGUGAUCUUGGGCAGCUGACCUGGCCAAUAGGAGGGAAUGGAAAAAUAUUUUUUGGUCUUCAGAUUGCAGAGAAGUGGUAAACGGCAUUCUAUCUCCAGAAGAACCUGUGGGAUGGGAAACAAGAUACGAUUUUAUUUCCCUUAGAACUUUUUUUGAAAAGGAUAACUGGUGCUUGUCUUGAAACUCAAGAAACUCCAACAGGGUGGCAUACUUACUUGCCAAGAAAGCUCUUCGGUCAGGGUGUUUAUCUGUCCCUUUUUGUUGUUUUUCUGGUUCUCUUCCAAGGGAUGUCUUGGGCUUGAUAGCCUCGGACGUUCUUGGAAAUAAUCUGUUGUUGUACCUCCCUCCCUCCCGGCUUUCGGGAGGUUUUUUGUGCCUUAUGCAAUGAAUCUUUAGAUUAUCAUGUUCCAUUUCUUGAUGUUUGGUUAUUUGAACAGAAUGAGAGAUGCUGAUCAAGCAAAGGAACGAGACAAGCGAGGGUGGUUCAUCGCAUCAUCAAAAAUGCAUAUUUUUAAUUCAUGUCAAAUAUUUUUUAUAUGAAACAAGCUAGAUGUAAACCAAAAAUUGGUAUUAUGUUAUGUGGCUUUUCGUUUGGUAAGGAAAUACAAUGUUCCUGACCAAAAAACAGAAGCAGUACAACAUUGUUUUAGUUGUCUAAAAAUUUAUUUAGAAAUUAUGUGAGGUUGCUAGCUCAUCUACCGAUAUUGUCAUCCCAAAAAAAAAAAAAAAUCCA